rnacentral:rRNA from 1 species
CGCCAGGGAAUUACGAGCCCAAGCUUAAAACUCAAAGGACUUGACGGUGUCCCACCCAUCUAGAGGAGCCUGUUCUAUAAUCGAUACCCCCCGCUACACCUAACCAUUUCUAGCAAUUCAGCCUGUAUACCUCCGUCGUAAGCCUACCAUAUGAACGCCCUCACAGUAAGCUCAAAGGUCACUCACCAGCACGUCAGGUCAAGGUGCAGCCCAUGAAAUGGCAAGCAAUGGGCUACAGUUUCUAACUUAGAACAAACGAAAGACUACGUGAAAUAUAGUCAUGAAGGCGGAUUUAGUAGUAAAAAGAAAAUAAAGUGUUUUUUUUAACCCGGCCCUGGGACGUGU